rnacentral:rRNA from 1 species
GAUGAACGCUGGCGGCGUGCCUAAUACAUGCAAGUCGAGCGGACGGACGAGAAGCUUGCUUCUCUGAUGUUAGCGGCGGACGGGUGAGUAACACAUGGAUAACCUACCUAUAAGACUGGGAUAACUUCGGGAAACCGUAUCUAAUACCAGAUAAUAUUUUGAACCGCAUGGUUCAAAAGUGAAAGACGGUCUUGCUGUCACUUAUAGAUGGAUCCGCGCUGCAUUAGCUAGUUGGUAAGGUAACGGCUUACCAAGGCAACGAUGCAUAGCCGACCUGAGAGGGUGAUCGGCCACACUGGAACUGAGACACGGUCCAGACUCCUACGGGAGGCAGCAGUAGGGAAUCUUGCGCAAUGGGCGAAAGCCUGACGGAGCAACGCCGCGUGAGUGAUGAAGGUCUUCGGAUCGUAAAACUCUGUUAUUAGGGAAGAACAUAUGUGUAAGUAAAUGUGCACAUCUUGACGGUACCUAAUCAGAAAGCCGCGGCUAACUACGUG